rnacentral:rRNA from 1 species
CCUACGAGCGGCAGCAGUGGGGAAUAUUGGACAAUGGGCGAAAGCCUGAUCCAGCCAUGCCGCGUGUGUGAAGAAGGCCUUCGGGUUGUAAAGCACUUUCAGUGGGGAAGAAAGCCUUGGGGCUAAUACCCUAGAGGAAGGACAUCACCCACAGAAGAAGCACCGGCUAACUCCGUGCCAGCAGCCGCGGUAAUACGGAGGGUGCGAGCGUUGAUCGGAAUUACUGGGCGUAAAGCGCGCGUAGGCGGUCUGAUAAGCCGGUUGUGAAAGCCCCGGGCUCAACCUGGGAACGGCAUCCGGAACUGUGAGGCUAGAGUGCAGGAGAGGAAAGUAGAAUUCCCGGUGUAGCGGUGAAAUGCGUAGAGAUCGGGAGGAAUACCAGUGGCGAAGGCGGCCUACUGGACUGACACUGACGCUGAGGUGCGAAAGCGUGGGUAGCGAACAGGAUUAGAUACCCCAGUAGUC